GACGAACGCUGGCGGCGUGCUUAACACAUGCAAGUCGAACGGAAAGGCCCUGCUUUUGUGGGGUGCUCGAGUGGCGAACGGGUGAGUAACACGUGAGUAACCUGCCCUUGACUUUGGGAUAACUUCAGGAAACUGGGGCUAAUACCGGAUAGGAGCUCCUGCUGCAUGGUGGGGGUUGGAAAGUUUCGGCGGUUGGGGAUGGACUCGCGGCUUAUCAGCUUGUUGGUGGGGUAGUGGCUUACCAAGGCUUUGACGGGUAGCCGGCCUGAGAGGGUGACCGGCCACCAUGGGACUGAGAUACGGCCCAGACUCCUACGGGAGGCAGCAGUGGGGAAUAUUGCACAGUGAGCGGAAGCCUGAUGCAGCAACGCCGCGUGCGGGAUGACGGCCUUCGGGUUGUGAACCGCUUCCGCCUGUGACGAAGCGUGAGUGACGGUAAUGAGUAAAGAAGCACCGGCUAACUACGUG
rnacentral:rRNA from 1 species